UACGUAGGGCGCAAGCGUUGUCCGGAAUUAUUGGGCGUAAAGAGCUCGUAGGCGGUCUGUCACGUCGGAUGUGAAAGCCCGGGGCUUAACCCCGGGUCUGCAUUCGAUACGGGCAGACUAGAGUGUGGUAGGGGAGAUCGGAAUUCCUGGUGUAGCGGUGAAAUGCGCAGAUAUCAGGAGGAACACCCGUGGCGAAAGCGGCUCUCUGGGACGGUACUGACGCUGAGACGCGAAAGCGUGGGGAGCAAACAGG
rnacentral:rRNA from 1 species